rnacentral:rRNA from 1 species
UACGGAGGGUGCAAGCGUUAUCCGGAUUCACUGGGUUUAAAGGGUGCGUAGGUGGGAAUGUAAGUCAGUGGUGAAAUCUCCGUGCUUAACAUGGAAACUGCCAUUGAUACUAUGUUUCUUGAAUUUUCUGGAGGUCAGCGAAUAUGUCAUGUAGCGGUGAAAUGCUUAGAUAUGACAUAGAACACCAAUUGCGAAGGCAGCUGACUACAGGGAUAUUGACACUGAGGCACGAAAGCGUGGGGGAUCAAACAGG